AGAGUUUGAUCAUGGCUCAGGAUGAACGCUGGCGGCGUGCUUAACACAUGCAAGUCGAACGAUGAUCCCAGCUUGCUGGGGGAUUAGUGGCGAACGGGUGAGUAACACGUGAGUAACCUGCCCUUAACUCUGGGAUAAGCCUGGGAAACUGGGUCUAAUACCGGAUAUGACUCCUCAUCGCAUGGUGGGGGGUGGAAAGCUUUUUGUGGUUUUGGAUGGACUCGCGGCCUAUCAGCUUGUUGGUGAGGUAAUGGCUCACCAAGGCGACGACGGGUAGCCGGCCUGAGAGGGUGACCGGCCACACUGGGACUGAGACACGGCCCAGACUCCUACGGGAGGCAGCAGUGGGGAAUAUUGCACAAUGGGCGAAAGCCUGAUGCAGCGACGCCGCGUGAGGGAUGACGGCCUUCGGGUUGUAAACCUCUUUCAGUAGGGAAGAAGCGAAAGUGACGGUACCUGCAGAAGAAGCGCCGGCUAACUACGUGCCAGCAGCCGCGGUAAUACGUAGGGCGCAAGCGUUAUCCGGAAUUAUUGGGCGUAAAGAGCUCGUAGGCGGUUUGUCGCGUCUGCCGUGAAAGUCCGGGGCUCAACUCCGGAUCUGCGGUGGGUACGGGCAGACUAGAGUGAUGUAGGGGAGACUGGAAUUCCUGGUGUAGCGGUGAAAUGCGCAGAUAUCAGGAGGAACACCGAUGGCGAAGGCAGGUCUCUGGGCAUUAACUGACGCUGAGGAGCGAAAGCAUGGGGAGCGAACAGGAUUAGAUACCCUGGUAGUCCAUGCCGUAAACGUUGGGCACUAGGUGUGGGGGACAUUCCACGUUUUCCGCGCCGUAGCUAACGCAUUAAGUGCCCCGCCUGGGGAGUACGGGCCGCAAGGCUAAAACUCAAAUGAAUUGACGG
rnacentral:rRNA from 1 species